GGAAUCUUCCACAAUGGACGCAAGUCUGAUGGAGCAACGCCGCGUGAGUGAAGAAGGUCUUCGGAUCGUAAAACUCUGUUGUUAGAGAAGAACAUGCAGGAGAGUAACUGUUCUUGUAUUGACGGUAAUCAACCAGAAAGUCACGGCUAACUACGUGCCAG
rnacentral:rRNA from 1 species